UCCCCGUUGCCGGGGCAGUCUGAGUAGAAAAAUUCAACUACUCACAAGGGUUGCGCUCGUUGAUGGACUUAACCAAACAUCUCACGACACGAGCUGACGACGGCCAUGCAAGAUCUGUCACUGCGUUCACAAGGCACAGUCUCCUUUCGGAGACCUUCGCAGGAUGUCAAGCCUGGGUAAGGUUCUUCGUUUAUCAUCGAAUUAAACAACACACUCCACCGCUUGUGCGGGUCCCCGUCAAUUCCUUUAUGUUUUAGUCUUGCGACCGUACUCCACAGGCGGGAUGCUUAACGCGUUAGCUUCGCAACACACGGGGUCGAUUCCGCAUACUGCUAGCAUCCAUCGUUUACGGCGUGGACUAC
rnacentral:misc_RNA from 1 species